CAAACGCAUUCCAGAAGUGAGACUCAGGGAUCAAUUCCAAUUAUAAUGCAUAUGAUUCGCGUGUUAAACAUGUAUCUCAUUUUGACAUGCGCUUAGUCCAUCAUCACUAUAACCAGCUUCUCCACCGCGUCAUAGCUCACCAGUCGUGGCGGUGGAGCACCAAUCAUCAGAACCAAAUACACCAUUUCACUCCAUUUUUUAAGCUCUAACCGAAUAUCAGCUCAAUUUCUACCAAUUCUUCAUAAAUUCUCUUAAUCAAACCAAAAUAUCACAUCAACCCUAACCAUAUAAACAAAAAUUAAAUGCUUAAAUGGAGGAAUCAAAGCCUAUGACGUUAGGGCUUUGAUUCCUCAGCCUCUACCCCACAUGGUGGUAACUAGAAUGAAGCUUAAAGAUGAAGAAAUGGCACAUGCAUGCCAGAGGGAGAGGUCCAAGAUCGGAGCAAAGGUAUUGAUAAUGCAGCUUUCAGGUGACAUGUUACAUUGAAGUUAUGCGGAAGCUACUGAUAGAUCGAGCAUGACCUACAAAUGCAGUUUUUGCUGCAAGCUGCAUGUUUAGUUUCAAUUUCUUGUAGGAUAUGUUUUGGUUGCAUGCAAGUUGCAAGUGGCUUUGGUGCAGGUUUAGGUUGGUUUCUUGAUGGCCUGCUAGGGUUUAACAUGGUGACCCGCUGGACUGGUUAGAUGACGUUCCAUUACUUUUUUCUCCAUGAGCAUUGUUGUUUGCAUGUCUGAAAUGGUAAGGAAUUAGCUGCAAAUAUUUGGGUUGUUAGUGGAUAUUUUGUGAUGCUAAUUACUAUUAGUACUUAGGUUAGGUUAUGUGGUAAAUGAGAGGUUAAAACAUGGCUGAUACAUGGCCUUGUAUGCAAUGCUUUCGUGUUGUCAAUGGUUGGUACAAUUUUUGCUGAGUAAAUCUCCUGAUGCCAUGUCUA